rnacentral:rRNA from 1 species
CCCUUAGAUGUCCUGGGCCGCACGCGCGCUACACUGACAUGUUCAACAAGCCUCCUAGUUCGACAGGAUUUGGGAAAUCUUUGAACGCAUGUCGUGAUAGGGAUAGAUCAUUGCAAUUAUUGAUCUUGAACGGGGAAUUCCUAGUAAACGCGAGUCAUCAGCUCGCAUUGAUUACGUCCCUGCCCUUUGUACACACCGCCCGUCGCACCUACCGAUUGAAUGUUUCGGUGAAGAUUCCGGAUAGGACUUUUUUGAUUUAUUUCAAUUCUGUCUUAAAAGCUAUCUAAACCUCAACAUUUAGAGGAAGGUGAAGUCGUAACA